UUGAACAUGUUUCUCAACUAGUUGCUCAUGGCCUGGUGGUUGAGACAUAUUUUGUUUACCACCAGACCCCUAGUUCGAUCCUUGGCUUUGGUAGUUUUUGGUUUGAUUAAUUUAUUUUCUUAGAAUCACCAUUCUUUAUUUUAUUUUCCUUUCGUAACUAUUUUAUUUAGAUUAAUCAUUUUUUUUUCGUAUCCCCUAUUUAAUUUAAAAAACAUUGUUGUUUUAUUCUAUUUCUGUUUAUUUUUAUUUUUAUUUUUAAAUGCGUCAAAAAAAGGGGAAACUUAU
rnacentral:lncRNA from 1 species